CUGGGACCUGGGACGUGAGGAAGGUGCUCUUUGCUGGCUGUGGGCGCUUCAGUCCUGAGGUCAAAGUGAGGUGUGUGGGAAGCAGCCCAGGGAACAGCAGCAGCAUCUACUACAGACAGCAGCACAGAGCUACCUGAACUUUUUCAUAGUGGGGACUCCUUUUUGCAUUGAGACCAUCUCAUAGAUCACUUCUCUUCUCACCAAGGAGAUCUGUCAGCAAACUGGGUGUAGAACCUUCAUAGAUUGUGAUGCUGGCAGACCAGGUUCCAGCUCUUGCCAAAGCUGUAGGAGUCGGCUGAGCACUGACAAAUUCAUAGCUGGAUACCAGACCAGCUCCUCUGCAUGUUAGUAUUGUUCAAGAUAGGUAUAAGUGUUUAGCAUUUAGACUUUAUGGAAUGCUUGUAAGUUGCUGCACGCAUUAAUUUCACAUGUAUAAUGUACUAUAAGGUGAUAUGUAAAUUUUGCUUAUAACUAUAAAAAUGCUUGCCCUGUGAACCCAGUCAGGAGGAAUGGUCCUCAGUCCAAGAAGGACUCUCAAAAUUAAAUGGGCCAUUGUGCAACAUCACUAAACAAAGACUUGGUUAACAACCUCUCACGCCCAUGAAGGUGCUACUUGCAAAAAAUCUCAUCGCAUCUGCUUGAAUGCUGGAAGAAGGAGAUAAAUCAGGGACAAGAGAGAACUUUCUCUUUGCUGUUUGGAUUCUCACAGGGGUGGAUCUGUGAAACAGAAGCAGAGAUCCCUAGGGUUAACCUGGGUUAACCCAAAUAGAUAUUUAGUGCUGACAGAUUACUACUAUUCCGUCACCUUUUAAAACCAUAGACUAACUAGUGUAUACAUGUUGCCUGCUUUAACCUGUAAAUAACACUAAGUUCUUCCUAGUUUUAGUUAACUAAGGAUUUAUUAUAGGAUUGGCUACAAAUGUCAUCUUUGCUGUGAGAUCUGAGGUACAAAUUGAGCUGAUCUCUUGGGACUGGAAGCAACCUGAAUCUUUGGUGUAUAGCACCAACUAUCAGUAGGCCCAGCUUGCCUGGGUGGGAAGAUAGACUAGAAUGCCCAAGGGGAUUGUCUGUGACUCCAUGGUAAGACUGGUACAGUGCUUCAGGAGUUCACAUUUGUUACUGGGUUAGUGAAAUCUAGUUAUAGACCAUACCAUGAGUUUGGGGGGUGUGCCCUGCUAUUUGACAGUCUGCCCUGAGGUAGGCACUCACAAUCACAAAUCAGUCCAGACAGCAGGACGCAUUUUCCCUCCCACCAAGGGAAUCUACUGGCAGCAGAUGGGAUGUGGCACUUCAUAGUCUAUUUUCCUCACCACAUUCAAUAGCAAUUUGCCACCCUCUCUCAAUUUCCUGCACCUGUAGACACACCAAAAUGUAUAAUUCAUGAGAAUCAAUUUUCCAUCCAGAAUAAAAAUCAAUGUACCUGCCUCAA